AUGAACGCUGGCGGCGUGCCUAAUACAUGCAAGUCGAACGGGGAGUAGCAAUACUCUUAGUGGCGAACGGGUGAGUAACGCGUUGGUACCUGCCCCGAAGCGGGGGAUAACGGACCGAAAGGUCCGCUAAUACCCCAUGUGCUCGGUAACGAGUAAAGGUGAAAACCACUUUGGGAGGGGCCUGCGUCCCAUCAGCUAGUUGGUAAGGUAACGGCUUACCAAGGCGAUGACGGGUAGGGGACCUGAGAGGGUGGCCCCCCACAAUGGAACUGAAACACGGUCCAUACACCUACGGGUGGCAGCAGUAGGGAAUAUUGGUAAUGGGCGCAAGCCUGAACCAGCAACGCCGCGUGUGCGAUGACGGCCUUCGGGGUGUAAAGCACUUUUGACUGGGACGAGGAAGGACGGUACCGGUCGAAUCAGCCUCGGCUAACUACGUG
rnacentral:rRNA from 1 species